AUGAUUCCAGGACCUGGAAUCAUACCAGCCGAUGGAUGGUGGUUUAUCGCUCGUUCGGCUGCACAAGACGGCGGUCAUUCGAUGCUCAUUUGCACGUACCAAAUUGACCAAACCAUUACAUCAAACCACAUGCAGUACAAUGCCUGGGGCGAUUGGCCGGUGCUGCCGGCUGGCAUCAAGUUCGAUCCCAUGGAUCAGGAGCUGAUCGAGCACCUUGAGGCCAAAGUGAGUUCUAACAGCGUGAGAUCGCACCCUCUCAUCGAUUUGUUCAUACCAGCCAUCGACAGCGAGCACGACAUAUGGUACACCCAUCAUGAGAAACUUCCAGCGCAAUUCCAGGGCGUUCAAAACGGGCACGUGGACGUGUCACAAGAUAUAGUCGGAGUGCGGCAUGCACACGAUGUGGCACAGGACCGGAAAUACCUUGCCGGUCAUGGUCAAUGGCCGAAAAACGGGCAACAAAAAGGUUCUAGUGCUGCACACCAACAAGAACUUCAGCCAUUCCCGCAAAAAAAAUACCUGCCGGGAGUAGAAUUUUCGGGCACCUGA
rnacentral:rRNA from 1 species